AUUGAACGCUGGCGGCAUGCCUUACACAUGCAAGUCGAACGGUAACGCGGGGCAACCUGGCGACGAGUGGCGAACGGGUGAGUAAUGCAUCGGAACGUGCCCAGUAGUGGGGGAUAGCCCGGCGAAAGCCGGAUUAAUACCGCAUACGACCUACGGGUGAAAGCGGGGGACUCGAAAGAGCCUCGCGCUAUUGGAGCGGCCGAUGUCAGAUUAGGUAGUUGGUGGGGUAAAAGCCUACCAAGCCGACGAUCUGUAGCUGGUCUGAGAGGACGACCAGCCACACUGGGACUGAGACACGGCCCAGACUCCUACGGGAGGCAGCAGUGGGGAAUUUUGGACAAUGGGCGCAAGCCUGAUCCAGCCAUGCCGCGUGCGGGAAGAAGGC
rnacentral:rRNA from 1 species